rnacentral:rRNA from 1 species
GACGAACGCUGGCGGCACGCUUAACACAUGCAAGUCGAACGAGAGAAGAGGAGCUUGCUUUUCUGAUCUAGUGGCGGAGGGGUGAGUAACACGUGAGCAAUAUGCCUUUCAGAGGGGGAUACCGAUUGGAUAUGAUCGUUAAUACCGAAUAACAUAAUUGAACCGCAUGAUUUGAUUAUCAAUGAUUUAUCGCUGAAAGAUGAGGUCGGGGCUGAUUGGCUAGUUGGUAAGGUAACGGCUUACCAAGGCGACGAUCAGUAGCCGGACUGAGAGGUUGAUCGGCCACAUUGGGACUGAGACACGGCCCAGACUCCUACGGGAGGCAGCAGUGGGGAAUAUUGCACAAUGGAGGAAACUCUGAUGCAGCGAUGCCGCGUGAGGGAAGAAGGUUUUAGGAUUGUAAACCUCUGUCUUCAGGGACGAAAAAAGACGGUACCUGAGGAGGAAGCUCCGGCUAACUACGUGCCAGCCGCCGCGGUAA